AUGGCAGGGUGGUGCCACCGAGGCUCUGGAAGGUUUGGGCUGGGCCUGCCUGGAUCUCGGGGUUGCCCACUGCCUGCAGCAAGCCCCUGGCUGAGGGAGAAGAAAGAAGCUGGAGGCCCUGGCAACCUCAGAAGGAGAAGCAGGAGCCCAUGCAGGGAUAUCCUUUUGGCCACGGCGUUCCUGACAGCACGUGGCGGCACGGCCUGGCCCUAUCAGCUGCUGCAAACUAACAGCUCAGCCGCCGCUAAGGAAUACUGGCUGUUUCCAUACCUCUGCACAGCACCUGCAGCAGCGUUCAGUGCCUCCACCCCCUCACCUGCCCUCCCGAGAAGCAAGGCUAUGCUUGUUAGCAGUGCUAUGGCCCCAAGCCUCUCCUGCCUUCAUAAAUCCUGCACAUUUUCAGGGACCCAGGAGAGAGAUGUUGAGGAGAAAGAUGCAAGUACACCCACAGAUAACAGAGCUUGA
rnacentral:lncRNA from 1 species